ACGGGAGGCAGCAGUGGGGAAUAUUGGACAAUGGGGGAAACCCUGAUCCAGCGACGCCGCGUGAGUGAAGAAGUAUUUCGGUAUGUAAAGCUCUAUCAGCAAGGAAGAAAAUGACGGUACUUGACUAAGAAGCUCCGGCUAAAUACGUGCCAGCAGCCGCGGUAAUACGGAAGGUCCGGGCGUUAUCCGGAUUUAUUGGGUUUAAAGGGAGCGUAGGCGGACGUUUAAGUCAGCUGUGAAAGUCUGCGGCUCAACCGUAGAAUUGCAGUUGAAACUGGAUGUCUUGAGUGCACGCAGGGAUGCCGGAAUUCGUUGUGUGGCGGUGAAAUGCUUAGAUAUGACGAAGAACUCCGAUCGCGAAGGCAAGUGUCCGGAGUGCAACUGACGCUGAGGCUCGAAAGUGUGGGUAUCAAACAGGAUUAGAUACCCUGGUA
rnacentral:rRNA from 1 species